CCUACGGGAUGCAGCAGUGGGGAAUCUUUGGCAAUGGAGGCAACUCUGACCCAGCAACGCCGCGUGAAUGAUGAAGGUCUUCGGAGUUUAAAGUUCUGUGAUGGGGGAUGAACACAAUGACGGUACCCCAAUAGCAAGCCACGGCUAACUACGUGCCAGCAGCCGCGGUAAUACGGAGGUGGCAAGCGUUAUCCGGAAUGACUGGGCGUAAGGGGUGCGUAGGUGGUUUAGUAAGUUGGCGGUGUAAUUCCGGGGCUCAACCGCGGCGCUACCGCCAAAACUAUUAGACUAGAGUGCAGGAGGGGUAAGUGGAAUUCCUAGUGUAGCGGUGGAAUGCGUAGAUAUUAGGAGGAACAUCAGGGGCGAAGGCGACUUACUGGACUGUAACUGACACUGAGGCACGAAAGCGUGGGGAGCAAACAGGAUUAGAUACCCUUGUAGUC
rnacentral:rRNA from 1 species